rnacentral:rRNA from 1 species
UUAAAACUCAAAUGAAUUGACGGGGGCCCGCACAAGCGGUGGAGCAUGUGGUUUAAUUCGAUGCAACGCGAAGAACCUUACCUGGUCUUGACAUCCACGGAAGUUUUCAGAGAUGAGAAUGUGCCUUCGGGAACCGUGAGACAGGUGCUGCAUGGCUGUCGUCAGCUCGUGUUGUGAAAUGUUGGGUUAAGUCCCGCAACGAGCGCAACCCUUAUCCUUUGUUGCCAGCGGUCCGGCCGGGAACUCAAAGGAGACUGCCAGUGAUAAACUGGAGGAAGGUGGGGAUGACGUCAAGUCAUCAUGGCCCUUACGACCAGGGCUACACACGUGCUACAAUGGCGCAUACAAAGAGAAGCGACCUCGCGAGAGCAAGCGGACCUCAUAAAGUGCGUCGUAGUCCGGAUUGGAGUCUGCAACUCGACUCCAUGAAGUCGGAAUCGCUAGUAAUCGUGGAUCAGA